GAUCUUAACAAUGACUUUCAGUAUCUUCAUGUAUGAGAGGAGGAUGAGGAAGAUGGGGCCCAGGAUGACAAUGGCAUGGAGGGCAAAAUCCAACACAAUGCUGGUCGAUAUGUCUGUGCAAGCAAGACUGAUCACCUGGGGGAAGUCACAGAAUAUAUGAUCUAUAUGACUAGGCCCACAGAAGGGCAACCUGGAAGUCAGAACAAUCUCCGGCAAAGGACACGCAAAACCACACACACAGCAUCCCAGCACGAGCUGAACACAAAGUUUGGGCGUCAUCUUGGUCAUAUAAAUUAACGGGGCGCAGAUGGCUAAGUACCGGUCGUAAGCCAUCACUGCAAGCAAGCAGGCCUCUGAGAUACCCAAGCUGUGGAAGAAAUAGAUUUGCAGAAGGCAGCUACUGAAGGAAAUGGACUUCUUGCUCCUCAGAAGGUCCACGAGCACCCUGGGCAUGGUAACGGUGGUAUAGAACACCUCCAAGGUGGCCAGCAUAGCAAUGAAGAAAUACAUGGGGACGUGAAGGCGAGGAAUGGCAGAGAUGAGGCUUAAGAUGAGAGCAUUGGCACUGAGGAUGAGCAGGUAGGUCACCAAGAAGAUGGCAAAGAGGAGUAUGCCGUAGUCGCCCAAGUUGAGGAACCCAUCAAGCUGAAACUCAGACACUGAAGUGCCAUUGAUAGAUUCUACCUGCAUCAUAGGUAGGCUAACCUAGAACAGGAAAUAAAAUCUAUGAAGAUGGGUGGCUGGGGAAUGGAAGGUCAUGGAGUUCAUGUAUGCCUCAGACUUUCACUGCAUUUCCCUGUAACUUGAAAGAUACCACUCCCAGAAGCCUGCAAUGAUCAUUAUGACCACACAAAUAGUAUAGUACAGUUCAAUCUUUUUAACAAAAGCUCCAGAAUUUUUGGUAGGAUCUGUGUGUCAAUUACAUAAAACCACAUAUGGUACUUCCAUUCUCAGAUAUGAUUUGAAAAAACAGUGGGUUGGGGUGGGAGGGGAAAAGGAACAUUUUUUUUACUUGGUGCUUUCGGGGUCAUGUGGCCAGCAGGGCUAAACCACUUCUGGCACAACAGGACACUGUGACGGAAACCAGAGUGCAUGGAAACGCCGUUUACCUUCCCGGCACAGCGGUAUCUAUUUAUCAACUUGCACUGGCGUGCUUUUGAACUGUUAGGUUGGCAGGAGCUGGGACAGAGCAACGUGAGCUCACCCCGUCGCAGGGUUUCGAACCGCCAACCUUCUUAUCAGCAAGCCCAAGAAGCUCAGUGGUUUAGACCGCAGUGCCACCAGUGUCCUAGUAUUAGAAGCGAUGGUUAAUAAAGGCUGUGCACUGCUGUGCUCCCUCCCUGCUGAAAGUGAUGGGCACAGUCACUGAAGGCAAAUGUAGUGCACAAUAAUAGGAUGGGGCGUAGCUGGCCAGCUCCCAUCAAUCACAAGAGACAGGAAAGUAGAAAUUGCACAUGAUACCUGGGACUGAAAUGGGUUCAUCUCUUUUCUUCAAAGGGAGCUGUGUGUUUACUCUGCUUUCAGUGCCAGGACUCUAUAGCAUCUGGGGAGUGAUGACAGUGCCUCUGAGUGUAUACAGCUUGUCUUUCUUUCCACCUCUAACAAACCACAGCCAGUUCUCAAACAGUCAAGAUUAAGAAGCAGAGACUGGAGGCCUGAUGAAUUAUUUCCUCAAUGCUUUCAGAAGAUAAAAUAAUAAUAAUAAUAAUAAUAAUAAU